GUAGGUGAACCUGCGGAAGGAUCAUUAACACGUAUCCAACGUUAAACAACCCUGUGAACCUUGAACGUGCUCUCGUACACGCUUCAGAAAACUGGUGUCAUUAGGUGCCGAAGCACAGAGGCCCGGUCGCCGGCCGUGUGGGCCUACAGCGAUCGUUUACUGCGCCAUCCUUGCGCAACCACUGACAGAUUGCUAGGAUGCCAGGCCGCACUUACUCUGGCGCUCGUAUCGUAUGGUUUUCUAGCAGAAGUCCCAGACUCAAUAGCUGGUCAACAAUGAUUUACCAGGGAUUGCUGCUAGCGCUGUAACAACCGCACCACAAACUCGAACAACUGUUAACAAUGGAUAUCUUGGUUCUU
rnacentral:misc_RNA from 1 species